GACGAACGCUGGCGGCGUGCCUAAUACAUGCAAGUCGAACGCGGUUGCGAACGGGAGGGUAACGCGUAGGUUACUGCCUCAUAGCGGGGGAUAACUUUUGGAAACGAUAGCUAAUACAGCAUACUGUGGGAUGGACCUGCGUUGUAUUAGCUAGUUGGUGAGGUAAAGGCUUACCAAGGCGACGAUAGAUAGCCGGCCUGAGAGGGUGGACGGCGACACUGGGACUGUGAGACGGGCCAUACUGCUACGGGAGGCAGGAGGAGGGGAACUGGGGCAAAUGGCGGAAGUCUGGACGAGCAAAGGCGGGGGAGUGGAGAAGGUUUUGAGAGCGUAAAGCUUUGUUGUUAGAGAAGCGGUAACUAACGAGGAAGGGCCGGCUAACUACGUGCCAGCAGCCGCGGUAAUUC
rnacentral:rRNA from 1 species